ACCGUGAGGGAAAGGCGAAAAGAACCCCGGCGAGGGGAGUGAAAAAGAACCUGAAACCGUGUACGUACAAGCAGUGGGAGCACGCUUAGGCGUGUGACUGCGUACCUUUUGUAUAAUGGGUCAGCGACUUAUAUUCUGUAGCAAGGUUAACCGAAUAGGGGAGCCGAAGGGAAACCGAGUCUUAACUGGGCGUUAAGUUGCAGGGUAUAGACCCGAAACCCGGUGAUCUAGCCAUGGGCAGGUUGAAGGUUGGGUAACACUAACUGGAGGACCGAACCGACUAAUGUUGAAAAAUUAGCGGAUGACUUGUGGCUGGGGGUGAAAGGCCAAUCAAACCGGGAGAUAGCUGGUUCUCCCCGAAAGCUAUUUAGGUAGCGCCUCGUGAAUUCAUCUCCGGGGGUAGAGCACUGUUUCGGCAAGGGGGUCAUCCCGACUUACCAACCCGAUGCAAACUGCGAAUACCGGAGAAUGUUAUCACGGGAGACACACGGCGGGUGCUAACGUCCGUCGUGAAGAGGGAAACAACCCAGACCGCCAGCUAAGGUCCCAAAGUCAUGGUUAAGUGGGAAACGAUGUGGGAAGGCCCAGACAGCCAGGAUGUUGGCUUAGAAGCAGCCAUCAUUUAAAGAAAGCGUAAUAGCUCACUGGUCGAGUCGGCCUGCGCGGAAGAUGUAACGGGGCUAAACCAUG
rnacentral:rRNA from 1 species